UACGAAGGGGGCUAGCGUUGCUCGGAAUUACUGGGCGUAAAGGGCGCGUAGGCGGAUGUUUAAGUCAGCGGUGAAAGCCCAGGGCUCAACCUUGGAACUGCCAUUGAUACUGGACAUCUUGAGUACGGGAGAGGUGAGUGGAACACCGAGUGUAGAGGUGAAAUUCGUAGAUAUUCGGAAGAACACCAGUGGCGAAGGCGGCUCACUGGACCGGCAUUGACGCUGAGGCGCGAAAGCGUGGGGAGCAAACAGG
rnacentral:rRNA from 1 species